CACGUAGGGUGCGAGCGUUGUCCGGAAUUAUUGGGCGUAAAGAGCUCGUAGGCGGUGUGUCGCGUCGGCCGUGAAAACCUGCAGCUUAACUGUGGGCUUGCGGUCGAUACGGGCAUCACUGGAGUUCGGCAGGGGAGACUGGAAUUCCUGGUGUAGCGGUGAAAUGCGCAGAUAUCAGGAGGAACACCGGUGGCGAAGGCGGUUCUCUGGGCCUUACCUGACGCUGAGGAGCGAAAGCGUGGGGAGCAAACAGG
rnacentral:rRNA from 1 species